rnacentral:lncRNA from 1 species
AGAGUCCACAUAUGUUCGGGGGAGGGACCCCAGAAGGCGGCUGACAGUAUUCCUUUAGCCAGAAAUCCCUUCAGGGAAGAGAAAGGUGCUCCCCUUUGCCUGCUUUUAUACUACAGACUGUUUCCAACUCCAGCUAGAAGUGACUAUUGCCGAUUAUGCUAAUCAGUGGCGACAAGCUCCCUUUGACUGCUCACUUCUCCAGUGAGGCUUCAAGCUUCUAGGCAUCAAGAUUAUUUUGAAAACAACUAGAUUGCCCAUCUCCAUUUCUCUCUAUCAUCUACUGUAUUAUUCUAUGGACAACUGCCACCCUAAUAAGCUCAAAGGAAACCAUGAGAGACUGUCUAACUAGACUUUUUGCUUGAUUUCCUGGACCCAAGAGCAGGAGUGAGGAGCUUUCUCCUGGUCAAGAAGGGAAGCCAGAAGUCAAGGCCACAGAAGACACAGGAAACAUCAUUUCCAAAGUGGGAGACAAAGCUGUUAACAGGAAAUUAUUUGUAAAGUCAAGAGCCAAGCAAAACAGAAAAAGGACAAGAAAUCUAUCACCUAGAUUAGUUAUAAAUAAAGAACAUAUAGCCAGCUACAUUACAUUCCUAGAUGCCUGAGUUUCUAUCAAUAGUGCAAUUUUUUGAUGAAACACAUAGAAAAUAUCAACAUGGCAAACUCUGAGAUGUUACCUGGCGCCCUUCCACCAAAAAGGAUUUCUACCUCCUUUUCAAGACUGAUUCAUCUCUAGUUCACAAACAAUCUAGCACUGAAAUAUUUCAGGUACCCACUCCUCUGAGGUCAUUGUAAAAGCGAAGAAUGAGACAACACCAUAUAAAAGAAAAUUGUGUCACCUUUUCAGCAAAUAAAAAGUUCAGUCUC